UGGGGAAUAUUGCACAAUGGGGGAAACCCUGAUGCAGCGACGCCGCGUGAGCGAAGAAGGUUUUCGAAUCGUAAAGCUCUGUCCUAUGGGAAGAUAAUGACGGUACCAUAGGAGGAAGCCCCGGCUAACUACGUGCCAGCAGCCGCGGUCAUACGUAGGGGGCAAGCGUUGUCCGGAAUCACUGGGCGUAAAGGGUUCGCAGGCGGAAAUGCAAGUCAGUUGUGAAAGGCAGAGGCUCAACCUCUGUAAGCAAUUGAAACUGUAUUUCUUGAGAUGUGGAGAAGCAAGUGGAAUUCCUAGUGUAGCGGUGAAAUGCGUAGAUAUUAGGAAGAAUACCGGUGGCGAAGGCGACUUGCUGGACACAAACUAACGCUGAGGAACGAAAGCGUGGGUAGCAAACUGG
rnacentral:rRNA from 1 species